GUCUCAUUGGACUCCAACAAAUUCACAUGCCACAAAAAAAAUGGCAAGUUAAUAUUUAUCCAGAAUAUAAGGUAACUAAUUCAAAUAAAAUAAUAUGAAAUUGUGCUUAAAGAUCAUGAGACAGUAAACAAAAAAUAAUGUAUAUUCAAUUAUAAUAAAGUUGAAAACACAAUUAAUUUCUAUUUACUGUCGAGAACAUCAGUAACUCUAACAAAGGAUUAAUAUACACUGGAAGUUUAUGACUGCCACACUAUAUAAUGCUAAUUGAUCUAUAACAGUAGAUUAAAAUUUGAAACAAGAAAUACUGUGGAAAAGAAAGAACUUAAUGUCGAAAUUAGCGGGUUAGAGAUUAACAAGCACCAAUAGGAUGAAAUAAUGAACUAAAUACUUGAAACUGCACACCUCAAUCUAAAACAGUGAACUAGAAGAAAGACUAAAAUAAGUAAAUAUUAGAUAAAUAAGGAAAAAUGAUCAAGCAACACAAAAACAAUAUUCAAAGGACAAAGAUUUGAAGCUAAUAAGCAACAUCAAAAUGAAAGUAAAAUCAAAACUGUGAAGCAAAAAAAUUCAGAACAUCAAUAAUACAUCAGCUAUAACUUUCAUCACAAAAACCUAUGACGUUCAAGUCUAUCUACAGCAAAUAAUUCCACUAUUACUAUGAUGACAGAUGAAAAUUGCUACUAACGUGAAGAAGAAGAAGAAGAAGUAACUAAAGAAAUAACGAGAAAAUAUGUUUACCUUUUUGGAAGCAGCAAAUCAGACUCCAAGCUCUGUUGGAAUCUUUCACCACCGCUAGAAAAUUCGAAUUAAAUUUCUUAGCCGAAAUUCUAAACUGUCAACAGUCUUACAUGGAUGUAUCCUAGUUAUUAGCAAACCACCCAUACUUACUUUGGAGUUUUGUCGCUUUUAAUCAGCCCUUAGUGUUCAACUUCUAAUCAGUGUAUUUAUAGGAAAAAAACAUCAUGAAGAAGAAGGAAAAAAGAAGUAACUAUAGAAAUAACAAGAAAAAAUGUGUAUACCUUUUCCAAAGCAGCAAAGCAGACUACAAGCUUUAUCGGAAUCUUUCACCACCGUCAGAAAACUCGAAUUAAUUUUUUAGCCGAAAUCCUAAGCUGUCAACGGUCUUACAUGAAUGUAUCCGAGUUAUUAGCCAAACUUCCUUACUUACUUUAGAGUUUUUCGCUUUUGACCAGCCCUUAGCGUUCAACCUCUAAUCAGUGGGAUAGAGAGUUUAUUUAUAAGGAAACAAAUUCGACUCACCUAAUUUGAGCGAUAUGAGAUCGAGAUUUCUAAUUGAAUUUUUGGAAAAAUCGAUGGAGGAUAAGGCUAAGCUGUUGGAUUGUACCAUUUUCAUACGAAUUUUUAGUAUUACAAAAAAUCUCAAACUUAUUAAAUAUAUUACAAAAAUUUC
rnacentral:lncRNA from 1 species